GCCUACGGGGCGCAGCAGUGAGGAAUAUUGGUCAAUGGGAGAGAUCCUGAACCAGCCAAGCCGCGUGAGGGAAGACGGCCCUAUGGGUUGUAAACCUCUUUUGUCGGAGAACAAAACCCGGGACGUGUCCCGGACUGCGUGUAUCCGAAGAAAAAGCAUCGGCUAACUCCGUGCCAGCAGCCGCGGUAAUACGGAGGAUGCGAGCGUUAUCCGGAUUUACUGGGUGUAAAGGGAGCGUAGGCGGCAGGGCAAGCCUGAUGUGAAAGCCCGGGGCUCAACCCCGGGACUGCAUUGGGAACUGCCCC
rnacentral:rRNA from 1 species